rnacentral:rRNA from 1 species
UACGUAUGGUGCAAGCGUUAUCCGGAUUUACUGGGUGUAAAGGGAGCGCAGGCGGCACGGCAAGCCUGAUGUGAAAGCCCGCGGCCCAACCGCGGGACUGCAUUGGGAACUACCGGGCUGGAGUGCCGGAGAGGUAGGCGGAAUUCCUAGUGUAGCGGUGAAAUGCGUAGAUGUUAGGAGGAACACCAGUGGCGAAGGCGGCCUACUGGACGGUGACUGACGCUGAGGCUCGAAAGCGUGGGGAGCAAACAGG